rnacentral:rRNA from 1 species
GACGAACGCUGGCGGCGUGCUUAACACAUGCAAGUCGAACGGAAAGGCUCCAGCUUGCUGGAGUACUCGAGUGGCGAACGGGUGAGUAACACGUGGGUGAUCUGCCCUGCACUUCGGGAUAAGCCUGGGAAACUGGGUCUAAUACCGGAUAGGACCGCACUUUGGUGUGUGUGGUGGAAAGGUUUUUCUGGUGUGGGAUGAGCUCGCGGCCUAUCAGUUUGUUGGUGGGGUAAUGGCCUACCAAGACGGCGACGGGUAGCCGGCCUGGGAGGGUGGACGGUCACAUUGGGACUGAGAUACGGCCCAGACUCCUACGGGAGGCAGCAGUGGGGAAUAUUGCACAAUGGGGGAAACCCUGAUGCAGCGACGCCGCGGGGGGGAUGAAGGCCUUCGGGUUGGAAACUCCUUUCGCUAGGGACGAAGCUUUUUGUGACGGUACCUGGAGAAGAAGCACCGGCUAACUACGUG